CCUGGCACUCUCGGGGGAGCAGAAGAGGAAGAGGAGGGUGCAGCCUCAGUGUCUCCUUAAUGAUCAUCCUCAGGUAGUUCAUCUCGUUGAUGUCCUCCUCCCUCACCCUUCCCUUUCCUCCGACGGUCACCCUCACCUCCUGUUGCACCCUCUUCAUCGCACCUGGAUUUCUCAUCAGCUCCGACAUGAUCCACUCCAGUGUUGUUGCUGUUGUCUCGCCGCCCGCCCCAAAUAGAUCCUUCACGUUGCCAUUCCAAAAGAGAACCAGGAAUUAAAACAAUCUGAUGUCGUUGUCCUGUGAGAUUAGGGUUAGGAAGCUUACCAAGAUUAUAGCUUUGACGGCCACGUCUGUGAACGCGAAUGGCAGGCUGCCUUCACGUUGGACUUUGAGUAAGACAUCGACCAAGUCCUCCUCCACUUGCUCGGUGGAGUUCCUCUCUCUGUGCUCCUGAAUGAUGCUGCUCAGGAUAGCAUCCAUCUCGCGGUGUAACCUUGGCAGCUUGAGAGACAUGCCAC
rnacentral:lncRNA from 1 species